AAACGCUGUUCAUUACUCGGAGAUCGGCAGACUGCCUCCGCCACUGCUCGCGAUCGGGUUUUCUGCUUAAACUAGUGUUGAAGACGUGCAUCGUCAUUAAUAUCAGCCACAGUUUGGAUGUAAUCUGUGUUGUGUGCGUCCUAUAAGAGAGAAACCACACCGUCCACCACAAUCAUACAUCUCAUGCUUCUACUGAUAUGUACCCAGCCCUCUCAAGAAGACAAGAUCUGUGAAAGACAGUACUUAAGUUCUCCCUCUAACUGGCCCACGCCUCCCAUCAUUCUCAGCAACCCGUGUAUGCUUAUUAGCAGUGGUCCCAGAGCCUAUACUGAGCAGAGAGUAUUCAUUCCUCUGGAUGUUUCCAAGGAGGCCUCCUUGUCUCUAUCACAUACACCACUUUGGGCCCACUGCAGUCCUCAAGUCUAUCUGUCCACAUCCUGUUAGUAGGAACUGACUGAUGUGCAUGUAAAGGCUGACUCCCCUCUCUGAUUUGAUUAUACCGCAUCUGUGAAAAUAAACCUGUUCAAACUGCUACUUCCCUCUGUGGUGUUCUGACCGACACGCCUGGUUCACUGCGAUUCAAGCUAGCCCUAACAGUAUAAGGUAGCCCUUCGCUACAAGGGCCUAAGAAAAACACUUUCUCUCAUACAUUUAUAUAAAAUGUAACCUAAAAUCAUGAUGUUGAAUAAAAAAUAAAUAAAUUAAAAAACGUUAUCCAUCAACUGCCCAUAUACAGUUAGAAACUGACAAUAUACAUUAACCAAAAUGCCAUCCAUUAAUGCCUGUAAUAUAAUAAUAUUUUUUUAUGGUAAAUUUCUGGCAACCACAGUUGGCCUUUUUUAUUUUUUAUGAUUAUUAUUUAUUUUUUUGACCACAGAUUUAAAAAAUAAUAAUAAUCUGCAAAAUGGUGCUCACUCACUGUAAUGUCCAUUCUUUGUUAGCUCAAGUGUUUAAAGUGGAGAGACUGGAAAAAUAGCAAAUAUAUACCAAAAUAGUGUAUUUCCCUCUGAUAUCGAAGUAGCUGUUUAAAAAGAAAAGUUUUAUAUGUAUUUCUCACUUCACACACACACAAAUCUUGUUUAUUCAUCUUUAUUAGCUUCACUGUCUCUCCCUUUCUCCAUCUCAUCCUGUUUCUCUCUCAUCUAAUAAGUGGGUCAUUGGCAGAGGCUCAGUAAAGCCUGGUGCAGAUUAUUUUUUUUAGAACAAAACAACUGUUGGCUGAGAGGGACAGAUUAGCAUCAUGACUAGUCUGUACAGUUGAUUUGCAAAGAAAUACUAAAAGUUAAAGUGAAAUCAGAAUUAGAGUUUUGUUGUUUUUAAUCAUAAUUCAGCUUUAAGGCCAUCUAUAUAUUAGUGUGAUACUAAAUGAAUAUUUACACAUUCAAAAGUGGCAGUCUUUUGCUUUUGAGAAAACAGACCAAAUAUUAGCUAUUGAUGACAUGCUGCACUACAUUUUUGUCCAAUCAAAUGCUCUCAAAAAUGAGUUUGUCCCUCCCCCUAAUACCACUUGCAACCGACCAGCCAGAAGCAAAUCCUGUUUCAUGGCUGUCACAUAAAGCUAUUGGCUAAAAUAUCCAUAUGUGCUGCCCAAAUCUGGUAAAUGUUGUUAGGCUUAUGGGCACAUGUGAGCUCCAUUUUCAGGGUGUAAUGUCCACAGAGGGGCACCAAAAGCAAGCUGUGAGGGGAGUUGUUUUCAGAUGUACAGGCUAUAUUACAAUGAAGAGGAAUGCAUAUUUUAUAAACUAAACCCCCCCUCCAAUCCAACCCCCUAACCUAAGCAUCAGUGGAGUAAAAAUGCAACCUCCAAAUUGCAGUCAUUACAGAUUAUGCAAAUGUAAUUACUUUCUGGUUUCGUUGAGGAAUCUGAGCCCAGGUCUCCCACACUGCUGAUGCAACAUGCUUCCAAUCGUUCCACAGGGGAAGGUAAACACUCUGGAGCCAAUGCAAAACUGUCUUAUGGGAGAAGGUACUUGUCAGUGAGUCGGCAUUAUGUGGCCGAUCCUAGGGUACCAGAUCUCUCGGAAACAACAUGCCAACUUCCCGUGUGAUCAUGUUGCUUUAAGCAUAGAUAGCGAUAUGGUCCAAGGUCAUUCAUCAUCAAAAACAAAAUGGACAUUUCAAUUUAAAGUUGUAAUACCACUGGAGAGGGGCUGAUUUUAUUCUCCAAAUGUCCAUAAUGUAGACUGUGCCAAGAAAAUUCAUUCAUUCAGUCACUGUAUAACUAAUUAGCAAUUUGUAUUCUCCACAGAGCUGACCCUCAUCAUGCUAUAAUGGCAAAGGACUUUUACCUCAUCGAAGACACUGUCACAGUGGCAUUUGCAGCAAGUCAGGCAAUGGUCCUUUAAGAGCCUGUUGUCUAGGGCAACACUACAAUGAGUCACAAUUGCUGCAAAAGGAACUAUUACAUUCUGCAUGGCCACUGCCAGUCAAAGUACAUUGAAAAAGAGAACAGAAGGGGUAUUAAUAGAAACAUUGUGGAUUUCCUCUUCGGACACACACAUUACACGGAACAACUUUUACUCUCAACACAAAGUGAAAGGAUCUCGCUGCUGAAUACUUCAACGCUAUACUACACAAUCACUGGUAAGUUCAUUCUAAACAUUUACAAGCCAGUUGCUAGUAUACAUUUUAGUCGCAUAGUGUGAAAUUUGGUUGCUAAUGUGAGUGAUUUUCACUCAUUGUAGUGGAGGGUUGCGUAUAGAUUAAAAGAUCAAUCUGGGGAUUUAAGAAUCAAUAUUGAGAUUGUUUAAACGAAGAUCUCUGUGCAUCAGAAAAUCAAUAUUUUUACACACCCCUAAUGUUAACAUGAUUUUAGUGUCAUAAAAUCGCUUACUAAUCUUUUUUGAUUAAAGUUAUAGCCAAUUUUACAACUUUGUUGCCUUGAUGACGUAAUGCCGUAAACCGUGUUAUCCUGGUAAACAAUGAUUUUAACAAUUUUAGGGCUUAAAUCUUACACAAGUUUUAACAGAAGAAUUAUUGUAAGUGUUUUUAUAAAAUUAUAAGCUUCACAUUUCUGCCUUUAAAUCCUCCUAAAAUAGGCCCCAUUCACUACAGUUGUUAGUGGAACAACAUCUGAUCCAGACCCCUCCUUACCCUCUCUAUUUAUCAGCACAGUCUCAUUUCACCAUGCACCUGCUCUGGGUUGUGUCCUGGACGAGAGUUCAGUCUGUGCUGACAGCGGACUGAUCUCAUUCUAAGCCAGGUUAUAUUGUUCUGUCACUCCAUUGCCAUUUGAGCUGGAAAGGUGCGAGUGAGGGCAGGGAAGAGGGGGCAAAUAAUUGGAGCUGCAGGGCUUCAAGUGUAAUAACAGAUCUACUGCUCCCCAGAGCCCUGUUCAAGCCUAACAACAGCAUCUCCAAAUGUUUCCACUCAUAUAUUCAAGGACACACUACACACAACAUGAGCAUUUCUGACACAAAUCUCAGGCAGUGAGAUUAUUCCAUCUCUCACCAUCAACACAAUGUCACUGAACUGCAAAAUAUACAGAAACAACUCUGUCAAAGUUGCACAAAAACUGCUGGUGAGAAUAAUUAACUGUCAAAAAAUCAAUAGCAGGUCUCUGUUUUAGAUUGCGCAGUGCUUUCAGCCUCAAAUGUCCUUCAUGCAGUGAAUGCUCACCACUGUCUGACUGUCUGAAUGCGAGCAAGUUCUUGGAUGCCCCCACCACACAAGACAGACUCACUGGCUUUUCUCUGCAUUCACUGGAAUUAAAUCAGGCACUUUAACAGAUGGCCCAAGUGAAUUAUUUAUAGAUGCAAUACAUUUAUGGCUGCCACUAAUUUGGAGUUUGAUGAGGUUAUCCUUUAACUGAGGAUCCUGAGCAAACAUGAAGUAUUUAUUGUUUUUUAUAGAUUUUAUUAGUCCUACAUGGACUCCUCUGAGAUGCAGUCCAUUGACGUGUAUCUCUGACACACAGUACUGAGACUGUGAUAUAAUAGGCUAUACAGACAGAACAAAAUUAAAUGUUACUUACAUGCAUUUAUUUUAGUCCACAUUUUGAGUAAAGCUAACUGCAACGAUUAGACUUGUCCUGAUUCUCCUUUUUUAAAUUAUUUUUUAUUGAUUGCAGAUUUUUCAACAAGAGCAAACAAUGCCCAAACAUCACCAGAGGGAAAAUAUGUGUGGUGCAAC